rnacentral:rRNA from 1 species
GACGAACGCUGGCGGCGUGCUUAACACAUGCAAGUCGAGCGGUAAGGCCCCUUCGGGGGUACACGAGCGGCGAACGGGUGAGUAACACGUGAGCAAUCUGCCCAUCACAUCGGGAUAACUCCGGGAAACCGAAGCUAAUACCGAAUACGACCACCUCCGGCAUCGGAUGGUGGUGGAAAGUUCCGGCGGUGAUGGAUGAGCUCGCGGCCUAUCAGCUUGUUGGUGGGGUAACGGCCCACCAAGGCUUCGACGGGUAGCCGGCCUGGGAGGGUGACCGGCCACACUGGGACUGAGACACGGCCCAGACUCCUACGGGAGGCAGCAGUGGGGAAUAUUGGACAAUGGGCGAAAGCCUGAUCCAGCAACGCCGCGUGAGGGAUGACGGCCUUCGGGUUGUAAACCUCUUUCAGCAGGGACGAAGCGCAAGUGACGGUACCUGCAGAAGAAGCACCGGCCAACUACGUG